rnacentral:lncRNA from 1 species
UUGAAUUUGUGUAGAACACCGUGUUUGGACCAUAAUCCGAACAAUUUACAUCCCAUUUCAUGCAUUGGUAUAGAGCCUGAAUUGGUUUUAUAACAAUUUAGCACAAAUGUAGUAAAUGACUUAUUGUGCAUUAUGUCUAGGUGGUGAGCAUUCUGGUAAAAGUAAAGAGAUAGUACCCGAGGAUCAAGAAUCGGAGUACUCGAAAUUCGACUCCCGAAAUAGUGAGCAACCUUAUCAUCAUCUUGAUUAUCUAAAGUGAAUUUUAAUUCGUUUUUAUGAUUUUAUGGAAAAUGAGUUUAAAUGGUAAAUCUUUAUGUUUUAUAAACAAAAUGUGAUUAAAUUAAAUGAUUUUAAAAAUUGUCUUGAAAUUGAAAGAUGGUUUUGAAAAUGGAGUAAUUGGAGACUAAUUGCUGUGUUAUAAAUCAUGGUUUGAAUUGAAUGGGUUAUGAUAAUAUUUGCAUGAAUGGCUGAAUUGGUAUUUGUGUUGAAAAUCUAUGAACUGUUAAUUUACCUUAAAAGGCUGUAAAAUAAAAUAAUUGCCAUGUCAUGCUGUUGAAUUUUAUUGAAUUGGUGGGUUAUAAAUUGGUCGCUAUAGUGGACAAGUUCCGUGGACCAACCUAUUAGAGGGGCAAGGUAACCCUAUUAUAUUCUUACCUCAGUAUGAGAGGCACGGACGGAUAACUCCUGAGGUUAACACUUUAGAGUUCACUUCACGCUAAACCACCAUGUGAUGGUGAACUCAGCCAAUGCUAAGGAUCGACUAUGUUUUCAAAAUAAAAACAUGAUUUAUGCGUACAUGACUUUUUAACAGCCUUGGCGGACUCAGUUGGGAUAGCCCUCGGACAAGGUAUCCCUGAUAACUGAGUAUGAGAAUGAUUUUGGCACGAGCCAAACUUUUCAGGAAAUCAUAAGCCUCGUUGUUUAUUUUGGUGAAAUGAAUCUAUUUUAUCUUAUUAAAAUGAGUUCGAAAUGCUGAGAAUCAUUUUUAUGCUAAUCUAUUUUAUCUGUCUCCAUUUACUCAACUUUAGAUAUUUUAGAUGGUAUUUGUUUACUCAUUGGGAUUAUAUAAUCUCACCACCCUCCUUUCCACCCAUUUCAGGCUCAGGAUAGUCGGUAGAUAGCUCACUUUGUUGAGGGCUACAGUUGGACUUGCAUCCUCAAAAACUGUAAGUUUACUGCUUUUGAUACUUUUGAUCGUUCGUGGGCCCAUGUGUACUGUAAAUUAAAUUUUAUACUUUGGUUAUCUGUAUUAUAGUAUGUAUGAAUUUAUUUAGCUUUUACGCUACAAAAAUUAUUUAUCGGUAACUCUAUAAAUAUUAUUUUAUAAAAAAAUAGAAUAUUUAUUAAAUAUUUUUAUUAUAUUCAAAUAGUCAUAAUUUCAUUUUAAAUGAAGGUUUUAGUCAUUUAAACUUAUUUUUGAUUAUGAAUUAUGUGUUUUAUACUCGCAUACUAUAGUUUUAGUUGGUUUUGAGAUUUUUGAGGAAAAAUAACCAAAAUGCCCCUGUGAGAAAAAAAUUAUUUUUCUAUUGUUUUAAUUUGAAAAUAGUUUAUUAUCUCUCAAAACAUGAUACUUAACAACUGUUGCUCAUAGGGGAGGUGCGAAAACUAAUAUUAAAGCCUUGCGAGGUUCCAAUUGGCAUUUCGGGCAAUGAAUAUCUAUCGGGAUAUCGCGAUGGUUGUCAUGGGCUCGAGGGGAGUACCGGGUCGUGACAUAUAAUGCCAAACAUUGGCAUCAUAAUCAAAAAAAUAUUCAAGAGUUUAUAAACAAGAAUGUAAAAACCAACUCAUCAACAAAAUAUGACUCGACCCUCUAGGUUGCAUGUGGCUACUAGAUAACCUACCAAGAAAGAACGAAUCAUGUCUCCAUGACACGAGUUGCUACAUACCUACUUACUAAUCUGCAAAAUAAAAAAAAAAUGAGAAACUAACGUGUGAGUCACAAGGACUCCAUGAGUGAAUACUAGAAGGGAUAAACCAAUGGGAAGAGUUAUUACUUAACACAUAAUUUGCAAAAAAAAAACAUGAAUUUCAUAACCUUUUUAGAAUCCCCUUCAAAUGCUUAGUACAUCAUUUCAAAUCAUUUAUCAUAAAAUAUAGUUUAAAUCCAAGUUAUG